rnacentral:rRNA from 1 species
UCAGGAANGUCUGGAGUAAAAGGCUAUGGCUCAACCCAUAGUGUGCUCUGGAAACUNUCUGACUUGAGUGCAGAAGGGGAGAGUGGAAUUCCAUGUGUAGCGGUGAAAUGCGUAGAUAUAUGGAGGAACACCAGUGGCGAAGGCGGCUCUCUGGUCUGUCACUGACGCUGAGGCUCGAAAGCGUGGGUAGCGAACAGGAUUAGAUACCCUGGUAGUNCACGCCGUAAACGAUGAGUGCUAGGUGUUAGGCCCUUUCCGGGGCUUAGUGCCGGAGCUAACGCAAUAAGCACUCCGCCUGGGGAGUACGACCGCAAGGUUGAAACUCAAAGGAAUUGACGGGGGCCCGCACAAGCGGUGGAGCAUGUGGUUUAAUUCGAAGCAACGCGAAGAACCUUACCAGGUCUUGACAUCCCGAUGCUAUUCUUAGAGAUAGGAAGUUACUUCGGUACAUCGGAGACAGGUGGUGCAUGGUUGUCGUCAGCUCGUGUCGUGAGAUGUUGGGUUAAGUCCCGCAACGAGCGCAACCCUUAUUGUUAGUUGCCAUCAUUAAGUUGGGCACUCUAGCGAGACUGCCGGUAAUAAACCGGAGGAAGGUGGGGAUGACGUCAAAUCAUCAUGCCCCUUAUGACCUGGGCUACACACGUGCUACAAUGGUCGGUACAACGAGUUGCGAGCCGGUGACGGCAAGCUAAUCUCUGAAAGCCGAUCUCAGUUCGGAUUGGAGGCUGCAACUCGCCUCCAUGAAGUCGGAAUCGCUAGUAGUCGCGGAUCAGCACGCCGCGGUGAAUACGUUCCCGGGCCUUGUACACACCGC